AUGCAGGAUGAUAAGAGCAUUUGUCGCCAUGACGGAAUGAAAGGGUGCCACGACAACGAUAAUGGAAACGGUGCCACGACAAUGUUUCGGUUCCGACAACUCAUUGAGAUAUCGGUGCAAAAGAAGUGUGACGGGAGCGAGUCAUGCAAGGAUGGUGGAGUGAUCCCGGAUAGAGGGUCCCAUGGGUCAAUGGCAUGGAAACGAGCAACAUGCAAGGAACAACUCGGACAUGGUGCAAACAUAGGGUGCAUCUCACACACAAAUGCAUUCGGCGGUCGUCUCGUCAUUAUACCUUCGAAGCGUGCGUUUUCGGGGCGGAACGAGUUCAAUGCGGUGUAG
rnacentral:rRNA from 1 species